UUUUUCACCAACUUCUAUGACCAAUUCAAGGCCUCAUGCCAAAUUAUUUGGAUUUUGACAAGUUUUGUAUUUUCUGCAGUUUUCUCGGAGAAAAAGGGUCGAUAAAUGGCUAGACGUGUCACAACAUGCAAAUGGCAUCGAAAGUCGCUCAAACCUGGCAUAGAUGCCUUGUAUGUCCGUGUGAAGCUGUUGCAAGAAGUUGGGAUCAUUUAUCCAUAGUCCAAAAAAUACCAAUUUUAGGAGUGUGCUAGACGGGUGCAUCCGUGAGCAUGUAGUAUUUUUUUCUAAUUCCAAUGCCUAUGUUAUUUGCAAUUUCCGUCAUAUCAAUUAGCAUGACCUUUUCUUAUGUCCAAACAAUUUCUUGAAAUUUUUCAACAAUUUUAGAAAUUUAAAUUUUAUGUUGUACACGAACAGCAAACAAUAUAAAUUUCCUAAAAACCAUUAUCAAAUUUUUGAAAUGCAAACAUUUCUUAUAUUUGUGAUUUUGUUUUCGAAAACAGGAACAUUUUUCCAAAUUCCAGAACAUUAUUCAAAAUUGUAAAACAAUAUUUGAAAACAACAAUAUUUUUUGAUAUUCCAAAAAUAUUUCAAUUUUUUAAACAAGUUUGAAAAAGAAUAAUAAACUUGAAAAAAAUAGAAAAAUGAAUUAAUGACAAAAAAAUAAAAAUAAAAAUUAAAAAAAUACAGAAUAUAUGCUCAGGCCUUGGUUCAACUAGGCGACGACCUCGCUCACGCCAGGUUCCUGUUGGGCCAACCCAACCGUUUGCGGAUUUAAAAAAGUUCAUCAAUUUUGAAAACAAAUGUUCACGAAUUUGAAAAAAAGGAAUUGCAGGCUUUGACAAAUGUUUGUAAAAGUUAAAAAGGGUUCAUUGAUUCAAAAAAAAUCACGGAUUUUAAAACAAAGUUCAAGAAUUUAAGAAAAUAUUCAUGAUUUUGUAAAGUUCACGGAUUUAAGAAAAAUGUUGAUGUUUUAAAAAUAGUUUACAAAUUUUAAUAAAGAAAAUCGAAUGAAAAAGAGAGAAAAAGAAAAAAAAGAAGGAAAAUGAGACAAACAAAAACCAAGAAAAUGAAACCACAACAUUUUUCCAAAGAUGUUCGGAAAUUGUUCAUGUUUCAAAAAGAAAUCAAAUUUUUAAAAAUGUUUGCUGAAAUUUCGUUAAGAAAUUCAGAACUAUUCCGCAUAGAAAUAUUUUUCACAUUUUUUGGCAAUAAAAGUUUCAAUUUUUCGAGAAAAUAUUUCAUAUAUAUUAGCGCUAAAAAAACGCUCUUUGUGUCUUCUUAUAGAUUUCGUGCUAUAAUGUACCACAAAUAUUGGGGUGGUUAAGUGGCUACCUGCACUUGCCUUUAAGUGGGAGGUCCUGAGUUCAAAAAUCCUCAUAGGCUUUCUUUUUCUCAGUAUUUUUACGACAUUUACACUGAACAUGGUAGGGCUUAAUGGGCCGGCCCAGUCCCAGGAGAAGCAGAGAAGUUUAUUUCUACUAGAACAGACAGAACACAGGCAGUGUACACUCACGCACACAUAUCCACCGGAGAUGUUGCUCACGUAGUGCUACUUUGCAAUGGAGCUAGAUGGCUUGAGUUGAUUACAUCGGAGGAGCACGGCUCCUUAUACAGAGGUCACACAUUUGUACUGCUAGCUAUCUCUAAACUAGAAUCUACCACACAAUUUACCGUUUGCUUUGACUACUACCUUAGCUAGUCGACCAAAGGGCAUUUCGAAAGCUGACCUGCAAAUGUCUGUUGUUAUGUCUGAACGUGGUCCGCGGACAUAAUGCCGGAGGGAGCCAUUGAAUCCUAUUCACAAAGUAAUCCGUUUGGAAGGAGAGAAAGUAGAUGGGACUAUGCAUGUGGUAGGAUAUUUAUGGUUUGGUGUUCCGGUUGGGAGGAGAGGGGGACCAUGCAUAUGCGAUUGCGAGAAGAGAGAGAAGAGGGGGACCAUGCAUGUGAUUGGUCAAGUACAUGUCCGGAUUCCG
rnacentral:rRNA from 1 species